rnacentral:rRNA from 1 species
GAUGAACGCUGGCGGCGUGCCUAAUACAUGCAAGUCGAGCGAACAGACGAGGAGCUUGCUCCUCUGACGUUAGCGGCGGACGGGUGAGUAACACGUGGAUAACCUACCUAUAAGACUGGGAUAACUUCGGGAAACCGGAGCUAAUACCGGAUAAUAUAUUGAACCGCAUGGUUCAAUAGUGAAAGACGGUUUUGCUGUCACUUAUAGAUGGAUCCGCGCCGCAUUAGCUAGUUGGUAAGGUAACGGCUUACCAAGGCAACGAUGCGUAGCCGACCUGAGAGGGUGAUCGGCCACACUGGGACUGAGACACGGUCCAGACUCCUACGGGAGGCAGCAGUAGGGAAUCUUCCGCAAUGGGCGAAAGCCUGACGGAGCAACGCCGCGUGAGUGAUGAAGGUCUUCGGAUCGUAAAACUCUGUUAUUAGGGAAGAACAAAUGUGUAAAUAACUAUGCACGUCUUGACGGUACCUAAUCAGAAAGCCACGGCUAACUACGUG